CUCCUGUGACAUCCGUGAAAGCUAGCCAAGUGUGUUCGCCUUUUAAAACUUAGGACCUGGCCGGCGCCGCGGCUCACUAGGCUAAUCCUCCGCCUAGCGGCGCCGGCACCCCGGGUUCUAGUCCCGGUCGGGGCGCCGGAUUCUGUCCCGGUUGCCCCUCUUCCAGGCCAGCCCUCUGCUGUGGCCAGGGAGUGCAGUGGAGGAUGGCCCAGGUGCUUGGGCCCUGCACCCCAUGGGAGACCAGGAAAAGCACCUGGCUCCUGGCUCCUGCCAUCGGAUCAGCGCGGUGCGCCGGCCGCAGCGCGCCGGCUGUGGCGGCCAUUGGAGGGUGAACCAACGGCAAAGGAAGACCUUUCUCUCUGUCUCUCUCUCUCACUGUCCACUCUGCCUGUCAAAAAAAUAAAAAAAUAAAAAACUUAGGACCCAUCGCAGAGAGGGCUGUGUCUCGGGGAAGAGAGGACUGGAGACUAGCUUUCCGCUCUAGGUACUUUUGCAUUAUUUAAAUGUUUUAAAAGCCGCCUGUGUGUCACUUUUAGAAUUAGGAAAAAAAAUAAAGUACAAAUCCCUCAAAUGGGAAACCACGGGGUGACUUAACAGCGAAGGGGAGGUUUGCCUUUCACACCUCCCCGUCCUCAUGGACGUCUUAAUGAGCAAGACAAACCCGCUCUUCAGAACUAAAUUCCCCCAGGGCCCAACUGCACUGCUCCAAAUAAACGCGCCACGGUGUAGACGGUUCGUUCCUGCAGCACACUUUCGUGAGACUAAGACGCGCGUCCACACGGCUCUGGAAGCUCCCUGCUUUAGCUGAUGUGAGAAGAAAAACAAAACCCGAACUGCGCCAAAAACCGACUCCAGGAGCCCAGCGACUUCCCGACGUGCACUCCGGGCGCGGGCACGGCCGCCUCGCCCCGCCCCCUCACGUGACUCUGUGACCCAGGAAGCCAUCUUAGGCCUCCGGCCUCACAGAGGAACUACAUUUCCCAGGAUCCCCGCGCGCGGCGUCGCGCUGGCACUUGCACUAGCCGGGCCUUAGAGUCGAGUCUGUAGCCGGGCGCCAUCUUUGACGCUGGCAGUCUUGGAUUUCUGCUGGUUUUGCUGCUGGGCGGACGGCGGGCGGCAGCGCUUAAGAAAGAAGAAAGACGUGGCAGCGAGCAGGAGUCGGGGAUAGUGUCAUCGGUUCGGUAAAGUUUCUGUUCUCUGGGCCCCAGCACUUUGGAGGUUUUCUCAAACUCCACACACAGAAAGCCACCGACCGCAUUCCGGUAUCCUACCCCCAUUCCCCACGCUCGCACGCUCCCGCCCCCGCCCGCAGCAUCGGAGUCCGGAGCUGCAGGGACACUGCCGGUCUCCCCGAGGGGUCGCUGGGACCGUGCUGAGGAGCGCCCCUAGGCUCCCAUAAGCGGUGCGGAUUCUUAGCGGGCAGGCCUCUGUGCUUGACAGCUUCCAGGCCUUGGCUCUGGGCUGGAGGAGGAGGCGGUGGGGCUAGGGGGUAGCGAUGCUUUCUAGGGUGAACGUGCGUAGGCCUUGGGCGGGGAGGGAGCCACCCAGCAGGAGUGCAGGAGCCCCGGCCGGUGGUGAGCUGUGAUGCUGCGCCCCAGAGGUACAAACAGGGAGUCAGAAAUGCACCUUGCUACCUGGCUUUUCUAUCACAGCGUUUUUUCCAGCUAUCCGCACUUUUAAAAAUUGUGUUACUUUUUAGUUAGAGCCCAAAGAGCUGAACGCGCAUUUGCUGUUAAUGACCAGUAUGUGGAGUCUGAUUUAGCUUUCCAGAAUUGACUUUGGGGGUUGCAUUGGCAAAUCUCAGUCCUCUGAUGAAUGCUGAAUGAUGCACUAUGUUUUUGUUUAAAUGAAAUUUGCUGAAAAUAAUUAAUUGCAGAGUUAAGGGAAAGUCGAUGUUGCUUGCUAUGGCGAGGCAUCAUAAAAACACGUGUCUUGAAAGCCGAAGGCAUUUCAGACAGAGUUCUUGAUGAAGCAGAAGGAACACGAGCCUGGGAUUUGGGAGACCUGGCUUCUAGCUGCUGCCACCAGCUCUGUGCCUGUGGGAGAGUGGACUUCAGCUCUGAUUUCUGGAGCAUGACAACACUGAACGAUUUGAAUUCAGAGCUCAGAAAGUUAGAAGGGAUCUUAGAGCCCUUUAAGGAAGUGUGUGGGAAUGUUCUCCAUUGCCCUCAGUUUUCCUGCACAAGUAAGCUGGCUUGGAAGUCAUUGGUCCGCAGGGAAUCUGACCGCCGUAGAAGCCGGAGGACAGGCCCUGCACGCCAGCCGGAGUGGUAGACCCGCGAGCCGAGCCUGGCGUGGAGAGGAUGAGUGUGUGUGCUCUCAGUGUGCCGGUCUCCUCCCUCUCUCCUGGCAGAAGGUGCAGCACCUUCGGGGGUGCUGGGAUUCUGGGGUGCGUUCCUGUUCAUUCUAACACCGAUGAAGAUGACGUGGUAGACGGAAAGAUGGUGGCAGAGGCAGUGGACAGAGAGGCAAAACUGCCUGCUAAAAAGAAGAGAAAGAAGGGGCUGCGGAUCAAAGGGAAGAGGCGCCGAAAAAAGCUGCUUCUUGCUAAGAAGUUCAGUAAGGACCUGGGCUCGGGGAGGCCUGUUGCAGACACCCCUGCCUUGUUGGCUCCCAGUGCCCCUGAGCAGGAUGAGGAGGGGCUUUUCGAGAGCAACAUAGAGAAACAGAUUUAUCUACCCAGCACCAGAGCGAAGACCUCCAUCGUGUGGCACUUCUUCCACGUGGACCCCCAGUACACCUGGCGAGCCAUCUGCAACCUCUGUGAGAAGAGCGUCAGCAGGGGCAAGCCAGGCAGCCAUCUCGGCACGUCCACGCUCCAGCGGCACCUGCAGGCGCGGCAUUCGCCGCACUGGACCAGGGCCAACAAAUUUGGAGUCACUAGUGGGGAGGAGGACUUCAGCUUGGAUGUAUCUCUGUCUCCCUCUUCUCCUGGAAGCAAUGGAAGCUUUGAAUAUAUUCCCACCGACCCAUUAGAUGAUACUAGGAUGGGUAAGAAACGUGAUAAAUCAGCGUCUGAUGCCCUGAGGGCAGAAAGAGGGAGAUUUCUCAUCAAAAGUAACAUUGUCAAGCAUGCCUUGAUUCCUGGAACCCGAGCCAAGACAUCUGCAGUUUGGAAUUUUUUUUACACCGAUCCUCAGCACAUUUCCAGAGCUGUGUGUAAUAUUUGUAAGAGGAGUGUGAGCCGGGGCAGGCCAGGCUCCCACUUGGGAACCUCAACCCUUCAGAGACACCUGCAGGCCACGCACCCCAUCCACUGGGCUGUUGCCAACAAAGACAGUGGAGCUGUUGGCAACGGCUCAGACGAGGCAGAGACUGAAAGCAAUGAUCUCUUGAGUGAUGCUGUGCACGGAGAGAAGUCCACCGGCAGCCAGGAGCUCACAGCCGAGGACCUCAGUGACUCUGAUUCAGACGAACCUCCCGUGUUGGAGGUUGAGAAUAGGCCCGAGAGUCCUGUUCCUGCCGUCGAGCAGGGCAGUCUGCAGCCCGUGCCGGAGAAGCAGACCGCGCGUUGUGAGAACCCAGGCUCCAGUCAGAUCAGUCAGGCCGUCAUUCAGAUGAUCGUGGAGGACAUGCACCCCUACAGCUACUUCUCGAGCCCGGCCUUCCAGCGCUUCCUGCAGGUUGUGGCCCCAGACUACAGACUGCCGUCAGAGACUUACUUUUUCACUAAGGCUGUGCCUCAGUUGUACGACUGUGUCAGAGAAAAAAUUUUCUUGACUCUGGAGAAUGUUCAGAGCCAAAAGAUCCACCUGACUGUUGACAUAUGGACCCACGACCCAUCCACUGACUACUUCAUCGUGACUGUACACUGGGUCUCCUUGGAAACUGCCUCUUCCCAUGAUGACAGGAUGCCCAGUUUUAGGAAGUGGGCAGUGCUUUGUGUUACAGGUUUAGCCAAAGACUGUUUGAUAACCAACAUUUUACAAGAAUUGAAUGACCAGAUCGGUCUGUGGCUUUCACCUAAUUUCCUUAUCCCUAGCUUCAUUGUUUCUGACAAUUCCUCAAGUGUGGUACAUGCAAUCAGAGAUGGCGGUUUUACCCAUGUGCCGUGCUUCCUGCAUUGCUUGAAUAUAGUCAUUCAGGACUUUUUCUGUGAGCACAAAAGCAUUGAGAAUAUGUUAGUGGCAGCUAGGAAAACAUGUCAUCAUUUUAGCCAUUCCGUCAAGGCCCGUCAGAUACUGCAGGAGUUCCAAAAUGAUCACCAACUUCCAUGGAAGAACCUGAAGCAGGAUGAAGCUGGCCAUUGGAUUUCCACCUUCCAUAUGUUAAAGUGGCUCUUGGAGCAUUGCUACUCAGUGCACCACAGCCUUGGGAGAGCCAGUGGGGUUGUGCUGACUUCCCUGCAGUGGACUCUGAUGACCUACGUCUGUGAUAUUCUGAAGCCUUUUGAGGAGGCCACGCAGAAAGUGAGCGUGAGGACCACAGGACUGAAUCAGGUGCUGCCCCUGAUCCGCCACCUGCUGCUUUCCUUACAGAGACUCAGAGAGGAGUUUCAGCUCAGAGGCAUCACUCAGGCCCUCAAUCUGGUGGACAGUUUAUCUCUGAAACUCGAGACCGACACCCUGCUGAGUGCCAUGCUCAGAUCCAAGCCCUGUAUCCUGGCUGCUUUGUUAGAUCCUUGCUUUAAAAACAGUUUGGAAGACUUUUUCCCUCAAGGUGCUGAUUUAGAAACCUACAAACAAAUCCUUGCGGAAGAGGUUUGUAAUUACAUGGCAUCGUCACCAGAGGUGUGCCAGGUUGCCUCUUCAGGAGGCUCUGGGCCCUUAGCUGCAGUAGGGGCCGAUUCAUUUAGCUCCGCUCUGAAAGAAGGCGCCUCCAGUUCAGUGUCCCUCGAGAGCGCAGCUGCAGGCGGUGCUGCGGCUGGAAGCAGAAGCUCCCUGUUCCCUUGUGCUGCAGCAGUAGUGGACGAGUACUUCCAGGAGGAGUACUCAGAGCCCGCGGGAGGCGAUGACCCCUUGGUGUACUGGCAGGGGAAGGUGAGCCUCUGGCCAGCGUUGACCCAAGUUGCGGUUCAGUAUCUGAGCUGCCCCAUGUGUAGCUGGCAGUCUGAAUGUAUCUUUACUACCAAUAGCCACUUUCAUCCAAAGCAGAUCAUGAGCCUGGACUUCGACAAUGUAGAACAGCUGAUGUUUCUGAAAAUGAACUUGAAAAAUGUUAACUAUGAUUAUUCUACAUUGGUUCUGAGUUGGGAUCCUGAGAAUGAAGCUGUUCAAAGGACUGAAAAAGAAAUACUACCUUAAUUUUUUUCCUUUCUCCAUUUAAAAUGGGAACUUUUUGCUAUGUUACCAUAUCCUUAUUGUUAUAGUUGUUACAUAUAGUCAUACUAAUCACUCUUUAUAAAACAAAUCUGGGGAAACCUGAAAACACAGAAGGGGCUGAAAAUUCCUCAGAGGCAAUAUGAUAUUGAUAAAGUUAACCUCAGAAAGACUUCACAGUUGUAGCUCAGUGUAGCUAGCACUUGAAAUUUUUAUAUUGACUGAGAGAGAAAAUAUAUUUUUUUAACUAAAAAAAAAUAUAGUGCAGCAUUGAAAAGCCUUAGACUGUUUCUGGUUGGUGGGUUGAUCUACUAGUAAUUGGUUUUAAGUAAAAAUUUCCCCCAGUAUGGGAAGUUUGAUUAUUCAGAAACCAAUGAAACGAGAGGGAAAAAAACAGGCUACUAAGAUGAUAUUUCCUUUCCCCGCCCCCCUCCAUUUUUCUCUUUCAUUAAAACCCUGGUGCUUACAACUUGGCCAAAAGAAAAUCCGCAAAUUGUUUUAUGAUUGGAAAUUUACAAUUACCUCCUCAUACUGGUCAGCUUUAUGAUUUCAAAUUACCAAAUGUGAUAGUUAGCCUCUAUGUUUAGGAUGGGAUCUAUGGGAAACGGAAGCAAUAGAAACCAGUUAGGAAAAAAUUACGUUUAGUCCUGGAAUUGCCUUUUUUAACCUUUAUAAAGUAGUAUAAAAACAAUAAGAUUUUACAGGUGCGUUGUAUACUUUAUGGGUAAAUAAGAGGAAGCUUGUAAGAAUUGAAUGGGAAUUGAAAUGAAAGUCCUCCGAGCAUACUUUGACAAACCCAUUAUGCAUUUCCCAAAGAAUGUUUCUCUAACUUCAGGUGCUCUUUUAAAGAACAUACCUAAUAAUCCAUAAUGCUGUAUUCUUAACUAAAAAUAAGCAGUCAGUGUUCUCCGUCAGGAAUCAUUGAUGAAGCGAGUGAGUCGAUCGCAGUGAUCUUUAAGAUUCCUUUCCACCCUGGAAAUAGGUUUCAGUGAUUGAGUGGGAGGCCAGGAAAUUUUAGUGAAAGUCUAUUAGAAGUUUCAGACUGAAUAACUAAUGUAAGAUCCCAAUUUUUCCUUUUUUUCAUUUUAGAUUUGGGGAUAUUCCCUGCCCAAAAAAAUCCUGGAAAAUUGACUAGUAUUAAGUGUGAGUAAAAGGUGUCCACUUUUUUUAAGUUUUGAUUUUAGUUUUGUCUUGGAUAGUAUUUGGCAAGAUUUAGCCUAGAAAUUAUGUAGUAUUUAUUACGUAAAAAUCAAAAUUGCUUUGUUACUGGGCUGUUUUCAAAAAUUUAGAACUCAUUUUAUGUAUCAAGAAAGUUUUUUUUUUUUUUUAAUUUUGUCUUUUUAAAAUUUCUUAAAUGGUAACUGUACCAUUGUGAAAUGAAAUUUCAACUCCCAAAAGUUUACCCUUUUACUGAGCAGAACAAAUGGAUAAUAACAAAGUCUUCAGCCUUGGCCGUCACUAGUAAAGAAUUUGGAACUAGACCGCAUGAGCAAGCCUUUGCAGGGCCGGUAUUGACUGUCCUGCCGGCGACUCUGGUGCUGCUGUGAGAAGCGAAGCUCCCCGUAGGCGCUGCUCUGACAGCGCGGGCCGGGUCGGAAUGGCUCUGCCGCCGCUCUGCCUCCCACAGCUCGCUGCACUGCUCUGCAGUUACUCUGUAACUCUGCGUUUCUAUCUUUUUUGGUUAAACACUCCCUGAUGGUGAUGAUAAAACAUGCAUCUAUAUUAUACACCUCAAACUAUAGAAAGGGGUUUCCCUUCUUAAUUUUGUGGGCUGUGCAAAAUUUAGUGUAAUGUUAACUUCAUGGUGCUUUGAUGUAAGUUCACUAUUUUUACAAUGAACCCAAAUCCAAAGGCUUUUACAGUGUAUUUUAAAAGGGGAAACUUACCCAGAUGUUUUAUUUCUACACCUUUGUGUAUAUGUAUGUGUGUGUUUAAGCCAGUUAGUGUAUAUGUAUAUGUAUAUUUUAUACAUAAAACACUUUAUUUUUACAUACAAUUAUGCUUUUAUUAUACAGAUAAUAAAGAUGGGGGAAGGUUUCUGUUUUUUUCUUAAUAGGUGAAGAAAUCUUGAAGACCAGAAAUUGGAUCUUAUUGAAUUUUGGUGUGCUUUUUCUUUUUUUUUUUUUCUUUUUUUUUUCUUUUUAAAAUUACAUUGUUCGGCUAUGGAAGAUGGAUUUUUUUAUAUAUAUAUAUAACUUUUAACCUCAAGUUCAUCCUUAAAUGAACUCUUUUUUUCUUCGUCUUGUUGUUUUUUGGCUUUGAGGAGAUAACUAAACCUAGCUGUCUCCAGUCUGACAAAGGUUAUUCGAAUGGACUUAAUCUCCCAGUAGUUGGGGGAUAUUUUAAAACACAUCCUGUGUUUCAAUUGUGGAUGAGAGGUUUCCUUGGCAAUGUGAGGAGGAAAAUUCUUUCUGCCUCAUUAUUAUUAAUUCAUGGAUUGAGUGUUGGUUCGACCUACAGGCGUGAUAGAUUGGACUCAGUGAAGACACAGACGUUCCUGUUGAGAGCAACCAGCUAAUGAUUACAUUGUAAAGACGAUUUCUGUGAGUGAAUUGUCAUUUGGAAGAAUAAACCCAUUGCAAGAGGACGUGGAGCUGGUCCUCACCUUGAGGAAGCAGUGGCUUGUUUGAAGAAGCCACUCCUGGUCUGAGAAUUUACCCAGCAUGCCCAAUCAAGGAGAAGAUUGCUAUUUUUUUUUCUAUUCUACAUGUACCAAA